AACAUUGAAAUCGAAAAUAAAGCAAAUUUUUACUGCAUUAGCUAAAAUUCUAGACUUUAACUACAUAUAUUACAAAAACUCGUAAAAUUUGUAUUUACAUUUGUUAUUUCGCUCGCUUGUUUGUUUCUCCCUUUUAAAUUCUCACGUAAUAUUCAUAAUUAGCGUUCUCUAGCUAAAGCAAAUGUGUUUCGCUGGUUGACAAAAUGAUAAAUUAUGCCGUCAGCUAACUAUGGAAACUUUAUCAGCCCAUGAGAUAUGUGAAUUCAUUUGAAACUCUACACGUUUGACAAUCAAUUAAAAAUGUUUGUUUACGUUUCGAACAAACAAAACUAUUGUUAUAAUUCCCAAAUUGUUAACAACUUCAAUGAGUUCAAGUCAUAAAAUUAAGUUUAUGAAUGUUUAAGUUAAAAGCCAAUAGAGUUAACUGUUUAGCCAGUUGUUCUGCCUGCCUUUCCUAAAGAGCUAACUCAAAUUAAAUUAUAUUCACAUUAAAUUUCCCAUACGGUUUCGAGUGGCUGUCAAACUGUUGCUAAGGCUUCAUUAGGUUGCCAAACAGGCGCCGUCUGAAACGUGAUCAUCAGCAGCAAAACGAUCGUAAAUUUGCAGCUAAAUAACAAUACGCACACAUACACAAUUAUACAUUCACAUACAUAGUUCACAUUUCUAGUUGUCUAAAUGUCGGCAUAAACAUUUCACUCGACUAUUUUUUACGAGCGAAACGAAACACACAAAAAAAAAAAAAAAAAACAGAAAAAAAAAAAAACAAAAAACAGACAGCACAAAUUAAAGCGUGCGACAUUGUGUAAUGCGUAUUACAAUGCCAACAAAAUGGGGCGUGGCUAGCCAAAAAGAGUUACACUUAAAAAAAGGAGAGAAGAAGACAAUAUUCUACGAGUGCUCAGCCCAGGAAGGUCUCGGGCUCCGGACGUGACAACAACACAUGACAGAGAGUUAGAAAAAAAUGGACAAGCGCAAAAUAAAACACAACAAAAAUCCCAAAAACCCAGAAAGAUUUAUUGAUCAAAGUGAUGUGAAUUGAAUUUGUGACUCAGUUGGCGGCUUCUGUUGCAACAUUCAAAUGCCCAGCCAUGCGUCAGCGCUGGAUAACAAUGCGCGGCGACGCUAUGUUGUCCAUUAGCCAGGGGCAGCUAAUUAAAAUGAAAGUUGUUUCUGCUGCUGCCGUCAAUUUGCAAAGUGAAAUUGCCUACUAGCAAAAUCAGUCAAAGAGCGAGAGGUUGGCCAACUGCAAAUGCCAACAAGUGCGAAAUGCGAUCGAAUUGCUAAGCGAAAAUUGCAGCCACUUGGAGAAAUGUCAGAUUGAAGACUGACAAACGAAAGCGCAAACACUUACGCAAAUUGCCUGAACGAAUGAACACUGAGGCAAACGAGGCAAAUGAAACUAAUUGAAAUGUGAGUGCCUGGCAAUAAGUGCAGCAGCAAUCAUUUCAUGCUCGAGGAGAGGUCAAAGUGCAAUUCAAUGCGAAACUGAUGAAACUGCAGCAGCAGCAACUGCAGAACAUAAUCUAAGGCGAGCAUAAUUAGAUAAAUGAUUAAGCCAAGUACAAGAGUCUAAUUAAAUGUUAAUUGUAGUUGAGUUCAAUUUGUAAUUUAAUAAAGAAUGCAAAAUGGGAAACUUUUGAUAUCGAAUUCUGCAGAAAUGUUUAGAUGUAGCCAAGGAGAAAAGUAGGCGUUGCCCUUGAAGUAGUUUAUGCUGUUGAUUACUCGAGUAUAUUUAUUAGUAUUAAUGCAUAUACUGAAGUCAUAUAUGUAUGCAUGUGUAAAUACAGUGACCAGCACUUGAAAUGCACCUGAGUAAUCAGCUUCAGCCCAUUAUGUACUACAUAUUGUUAAUCUAUAAAAGCCUAUAGAAGUUAGCCAAUUUCAGUUCUCUAAUUAUAUGCGUCCUUACAUUCAAUUUGAUUAAACUUGUAUUAUUUAGCUAAUAUGACUGUCAACAUUUAACAGGCAGCUUAUUCAGCUGUUAUAAUAAACUGCAUUUAUAUACAAUUUUUUUCAAAAUAAAUAAUGUUU